UACGUAGGGUCCAAGCGUUAAUCGGAAUUACUGGGCGUAAAGCGUGCGCAGGCGGUUGGCAAAGUCAGCUGUGAAAGCCCCGGGCUUAACCUGGGAAUGGCGGUUGAAACUAGUUGACUAGAAUCUGGCAGAGGGGGGUGGAAUUCCACGUGUAGCAGUGAAAUGCGUAGAGAUGUGGAGGAACACCGAUGGCGAAGGCAGCCCCCUGGGCUGAGAUUGACGCUCAGGCACGAAAGCGUGGGGAGCAAACAGG
rnacentral:rRNA from 1 species